rnacentral:rRNA from 1 species
AUUGAACGCUGGCGGCAUGCCUUACACAUGCAAGUCGAACGGUAACAGGUUAAGCUGUCGCGUCGCGUGCUGGUGAGUUGUGUAUCGGAACGUAACCCAUCGUGAGGUAUAACUUCUCGCAGGGACAGCUAAUCCCACAUCCGACCUGAGCGGAGACGCGGUGCGUGGGACAGCCUAGCACGGUUUGACCUGGCGCGAUCGGAUUAGCUGAUGUCGGAUUAGCUAGUUGGUGGGGUAAAGGCCUACCAAGGCGACGAUCCGUAGCUGGUCUGAGAGGACGACCAGCCACACUGGGACUGAGACACGGCCCAGACUCCUACGGGAGGCAGCAGUGGGGAAUUUUGGACAAUGGGCGCAAGCCUGAUCCAGCAAUGCCGCGUGCGGGAAGAAGGCCUUCGGGUUGUAAACCGCUUUUGGCAGGAAAGAAAAGGUGUCGGCUAAUACCGGGCGCUAAUGACGGUACCUGAAGAAUAAGCACCGGCUAACUACGUG